rnacentral:rRNA from 1 species
UACGGAGGGUGCGAGCGUUAAUCGGAAUUACUGGGCGUAAAGGGUGCGUAGGUGGUUGAUUAAGUUAUGUGUGAAAUCCCCGGGCUUAACCUGGGGCUGCAGAUAAGACUGGUUAACUAGAGUAUGGGAGAGGGUAGUGGAAUUUCCGGUGUAGCGGUGAAAUGCGUAGAGAUGUGGAGGAAUACCGAUGGCGAAGGCAGCCUCCUGGGCCAACACUGACGCUCAUGCACGAAAGCGUGGGGAGCAAACAGG